UAAUUAUGAAUUGCGACGCUGCAAAGGCGAAUGGAAUUUGACUUCUUCAUGCCGGUACACAAAAUGCCCAGAGGGUGUUCACAGCUGGUCAUGGUGGUAUGCUUCGAGUCAUGGCGAGAUUGACAUGUUUGGAGUGGAUGAAAUCGGGCAAACAACCGUGAUGGAGGCAAAGGACUAGCGCUUCAGUGAAAUGCUGGAAACCUUCCUCUAGGAAAAGGGUCAUUGGACAUGUGAGCACACCUUAUCUAUUGCGCAGACAAGCACAAAGCUCAGGGCAAUAAAUCUGGUCAGUUCUUUGAAGGACCAGUGGUGCGCAGUGACACACGAGUCAACUGAUGUCGACACGUGCGGUGUGCUGUAGGUGACGUAUGAGUAAAGAAAUAUGUUCCUAUUCAUGAAACAAA